rnacentral:rRNA from 1 species
CACUGACAUUAGAUACCCCUGUAGUCCCAGCCGUAAACUAUGCGCGUUAGGUGUAUCGGUGACCACGAGUUACCGAGGUGCCGAAGGGAAACCGUGAAACGUGCCGCCUGGGAAGUACGGUCGCAAGGCUGAAACUUAAAGGAAUUGGCGGGGAGCACCACAACAGGUGGAGCCUGCGGUUUAAUUGGACUCAACGCCGGGAAGCUCACCGGAUAGGACAGCAGAAUGAUUGCCGGGCUGAAGACCCUGCAUGACUAGCUG